rnacentral:rRNA from 1 species
UACAGAGGCCUCAAGCGUUGUUCGGAAUUACUGGGCGUAAAGGGAAUGUAGGUGGUGACGUAAGUCAGAUGUGAAAGCCCUGGGCUCAACCCGGGAACUGCAUUUGAUACUGCGUUGCUGGAGUGCGAGAGAGGAAAGCGGAAUUCCUAGUGUAGGGGUGAAAUCCGUAGAUAUUAGGAGGAAUACCGAUGGCGAAGGCAGCUUUCUGGCUCGUAACUGACACUGAGAUUCGAAAGCAUGGGUAGCAAAC